ACGGGGAGCAGCAGGCGCGAAACCUUUACACUGCACGACAGUGCGAUAAGGGGACCCCGAGUGCGAGGGCAUACAGUCCUCGCUUUUCGUGACCGUAAGGUGGUCACAGAAUAAGAGCUGGGCAAGACCGGUGCCAGCCGCCGCGGUAAUACCGGCAGCUCGAGUGAUGGCCACUAUUAUUGGACCUAAAGCGUCCGUAGCCGGCCGAACGGGUCCGUCGGGAAAUCCACUCGCCCAACGAGUGGACGUCCGGCGGAAACCAGUCGGCUUGGGGCCGGGAGACCAGAGAGGUACGUCCGGGGUAGGAGUGAAAUCCUGUAAUCCUGGACGGACCGCCGGUAGCGAAGGCGUCUCUGGAGAACGGACCCGACGGUGAGGGACGAAAGCUUGGGUCUCGAACCGGAUUAGAUACCCGGGUAGUCCAAGCUGUAUUAGAUGCUCUCUAGGUGGGGCGAAGGGUACGAGCCAGCGCAUUGCCGUAGGGAACCCGAGAAGCGAGCCGCCUGGGAAGUAUGUCCGCAAGGUCGAAAUCAAAGGAAUUGGCGGGGGACCAC
rnacentral:rRNA from 1 species